rnacentral:rRNA from 1 species
CGGACGGGUGAGUAAUGUCUGGGAAACUGCCUGAUGGAGGGGGAUAACUACUGGAAAGGUAGCUAAUACCGCAUAACGUCGCAAGACCAAAGAGGGGGACCUUCGGGCCUCUUGCCAUCGGAUGUGCCCAGAUGGGAUUAGCUAGUAGGUGGGGUAACGGCUCACCUAGGCGACGAUCCCUAGCUGGUCUGAGAGGAUGACCAGCCACACUGGAACUGAGACACGGUCCAG